AUACGUAGGUGGCAAGCGUUGUCCGGAAUUAUUGGGCGUAAAGCGCGCGCAGGCGGUCCUUUAAGUCUGAUGUGAAAGCCCACGGCUCAACCGUGGAGGGUCAUUGGAAACUGGGGGACUUGAGUGCAGAAGAGGAAAGUGGAAUUCCAAGUGAAGCGGUGAAAUGCGUAGAGAUUUGGAGGAACACCGGUGGCGAAGGCGACUUUCUGGUCUGUAACUGACGCUGAGGCGCGAAAGCGUGGGGAGCAAACAGGAUUAGAUACCCUGGUAGUCCACGCCGUAAACGAUGAGUGCUAAGUGUUAGGGGGUUUCCGCCCCUUAGUGCUGCAGCUAACGCAUUAAGCACUCCGCCUGGGGAGUACGGUCGCAAGACUGAAACUCAAAGGAAUUGACGGGG
rnacentral:rRNA from 1 species